UACGUAGGGGGCAAGCGUUGUCCGGAAUCAUUGGGCGUAAAGAGCGUGUAGGCGGCCCGAUAAGUCCGCUGUGAAAGUCCAGGGCUCAACCCUGGGAUGCCGGUGGAUACUGUCGGGCUCGAGUCCGGAAGAGGAGUGUGGAAUUCCUGGUGUAGCGGUGGAAUGCGCAGAUAUCAGGAGGAACACCAAUAGCGAAGGCAGCUCGCUGGGACGGUACUGACGCUGAGGCGCGAAAGCGUGGGGAGCGAACAGG
rnacentral:rRNA from 1 species